rnacentral:rRNA from 1 species
UACGUAGGGCGCAAGCGUUUGUCCGGAAUCAUUGGGCGUAAAGAGCUCGUAGGUGGUCUGUUACGUCUGCUGUGAAAUCCUAGGGCUUAACCCUGGGCCUGCAGUGGAUACGGGCAGACUAGAGGUAGGUAGGGGAGAAUGGAAUUCCCGGUGUAGCGGUGAAAUGCGCAGAUAUCGGGAGGAACACCGGUGGCGAAGGCGGGUCUCUGGGCAGUAACUGACGCUGAGGAGCGAAAGCGUGGGUAGCAAACAGG